rnacentral:rRNA from 1 species
UACAGAGGUGGCAAGCGUUGUUCGGAAUUACUGGGCGUAAAGCGCGUGUAGGCGGUUAUGCAAGUCGGGUGUGAAAUCCCGGGGCUCAACCCCGGAAGUGCAUUCGAUACUGCGUAGCUAGAGUACCGGAGAGGGUGGUGGAACUCUGGGUGUAGAGGUGAAAUUCGUAGAUAUCCAGAAGAACACCGGUGGCGAAGGCGGCCACCUGGACGGAUACUGACGCUGAGACGCGAAAGCGUGGGGAGCAAACAGG